AGCAAGGAGCUAGGCCCAAGAAUGUGUAGCCAGGUACCAGGACCCAGUCCUGGGUCGCAUGAAAACAGACAGGGCUGUGGAGGAGAGAAAGGGGAACAAGGAUAGUGGGAGGCACAGGGAGAUGAGGGCUCAAAGCCCAAGUUCACUGUUUGUUGUCAGGAUUGAGGAGCAGGGCUCAGCCUGAGAUAGUCCAAAUGGCCCAGGCAAUGGGCACAGCUAUGUUUUCCCAAAGGGAGCCCACAGGGCCAAAUGCUCAGUUUCAGUCCCCUGGACAUGGUGAGCAUCAUGCAAAAGUGAACUUGAAAAGGGGACCAGCAGGGACAGGAAGAACAAGAGGGAUGAAGAGGGUACAGGAUGAAAGGCCAGAGGAAGGGUGUUGAUAGGGUACGGGCCAGGACUCUUGAAAGGAGCCCACGCUAGGGACCAACAGGAGGGCACAGGCCAGGAAAGGGCAGUGAAGUUCAGGGCCAGGCAGAUGGGCAACAGUAGAGCUCUGUUUCAGGGAAGCCAAGGGGAGCAGGGUCCCAGCGAGGCCCACAGUCCAAGCCCAGGGAAGCACGGAGCAAGAAGGGCCCCCAGAACCUCAACCGAGGAGGCAGGCCAGGGAAUGAAGAGCCAAGGGCUAGGGCUUGGGCAGGAGGCUCAAGACAGUGGACAAGACUUUGGAGAGAUUGCAGAUUAUCUGGUAGGGGGAAGUCAUGUUUCUGGCCCAAGGCCACUGCCAGAUGUCAGCGUUCUGGGUGCAGGACCAAAGGCCCAGAGAGAUCAAGGGACCUAGGUGAUGGGCAGAACUCAGUUUCCCAUAAGGCGCCUGGCCCAAGAAUCCAGGGACAGGGACAUGGCAAAGGAGGCUUGGAAAAUGAAGGGGGCCAGGGUGAGGGCAAUGGGAGUGCACAGCGGGGGGUCUUGGUGGGUGCGUAUGGAGGCAAGAUCCAGGACCCAAGCCAGUUGCCCAGACAAAGGACCCA
rnacentral:lncRNA from 1 species